UGUGUGUAUAUAGUGUGUGUAUGUAAGUGUAUGUGUGUGUGUGUGUGUGUGUGUAUAGUGUGUGUGUAUAUAGAGUGUGUGUAGAGUGUGUGUGUGUGUGUGUGUAUAGUGUGUGUGUAUAUAGAGUGUGUGUAGAGUGUGUGUAUUGUGUGUGUGUAUAUAGUGUGUGUAUGUAAGUGUAUGUGUGUGUGUGUGUGUAUAUAGAGUGUAUACCUGCGUAUCCGGGACGUGAGGCUCCGUGGGGACUGAGGGGGAUCUGAGGAGACGGUUCUGAAUGGGUUCGUU